ACGCUCGACACCUACGGGAGGCUGCAGUGGGGAAUAUUGCACAAUGGGGGAAACCCUGAUGCAGCAACGCCGCGUGAAGGAAGACGGUUUUCGGAUUGUAAACUUCUGUUCUUAGUGAAGAUAGUGACGGUAGCUAAGGAGCAAGCCACGGCUAACUACGUGCUAGCAGCCGCGGUAGUCUGAGCGGGCUGGCAAGGC
rnacentral:rRNA from 1 species